UACGGAGGGUGCGCGCGUUAAUCGGAAUUACUGGGCGUAAAGCGUGCGCAGGCGGUCUCGUAAGACAGGUGUGAAAUCCCCGGGCUCAACCUGGGAACUGCGCUUGUGACUGCGAGGCUAGAGUGCGGAAGAGGGAGGUGGAAUUCCACGUGUAGCAGUGAAAUGCGUAGAGAUGUGGAGGAACACCGAUGGCGAAGGUAGCCUCCUGGGCCAGCACUGACGCUCAUGCAUGAAAGCGUGGGGAGCAAACAGG
rnacentral:rRNA from 1 species